rnacentral:rRNA from 1 species
GAUGAACGCUGGCGGCGUGCCUAAUACAUGCAAGUCGAGCGAACAGACGAGGAGCUUGCUCCUCUGACGUUAGCGGCGGACGGGUGAGUAACACGUGGAUAACCUACCUAUAAGACUGGGAUAACUUCGGGAAACCGGAGCUAAUACCGGAUAAUAUGUUGAAUCGCAUGGUUCAACAGUGAAAGACGGUCUUGCUGUCACUUAUAGAUGGAUCCGCGCCGCAUUAGCUAGUUGGUAAGGUAACGGCUUACCAAGGCAACGAUGCGUAGCCGACCUGAGAGGGUGAUCGGCCACACUGGAACUGAGACACGGUCCAGACUCCUACGGGAGGCAGCAGUAGGGAAUCUUCCGCAAUGGGCGAAAGCCUGACGGAGCAACGCCGCGUGAGUGAAGAAGGUCUUCGGAUCGUAAAACUCUGUUAUUAGGGAAGAACAAAUGUGUAAGUAACUAUGCACGUCUUGACGGUACCUAAGCAGAAAGCCACGGCUAACUACGU